CCUACGGGAGGCUGCAGUGGGGAAUAUUGGACAAUGGGGGCAACCCUGAUCCAGCCAUGCCGCGUGUGUGAAGAAGGCCCUCGGGUUGUAAAGCACUUUCAGUGAGGAAGAACGCCUGGUGGUUAAUACCCAUCAGGAAAGACAUCACUCACAGAAGAAGCACCGGCUAACUCCGUGCCAGCAGCCGCGGUAAUACGGAGGGUGCGAGCGUUAAUCGGAAUUACUGGGCGUAAAGCGCGCGUAGGUGGCUUGAUAAGCCGGUUGUGAAAGCCCCGGGCUCAACCUGGGAACGGCAUCCGGAACUGUCAAGCUAGAGUGCAGGAGAGGAAGGUAGAAUUCCCGGUGUAGCGGUGAAAUGCGUAGAGAUCGGGAGGAAUACCAGUGGCGAAGGCGGCGUUCUGGACUGACACUGACACUGAGGUGCGAAAGCGUGGGUAGCAAACAGGAUUAGAUACCCUUGUAGUC
rnacentral:rRNA from 1 species